rnacentral:rRNA from 1 species
AUUGAACGCUGGCGGCAGGCCUAACACAUGCAAGUCGAACGGUAACAGGAAACAGCUUGCUGUUUCGCUGACGAGUGGCGGACGGGUGAGUAAUGUCUGGGAAACUGCCUGAUGGAGGGGGAUAACUACUGGAAACGGUAGCUAAUACCGCAUAACGUCGCAAGACCAAAGAGGGGGACCUUCGGGCCUCUUGCCAUCGGAUGUGCCCAGAUGGGAUUAGCUUGUUGGUGGGGUAACGGCUUACCAAGGCGACGAUCCCUAGCUGGUCUGAGAGGAUGACCAACCACACUGGAACUGAGACACGAUCCAGACUCCUACGGGAGGCAGCAGUGGGGAAUAUUGCACAAUGGGCGCAAGCCUGAUGCAGCCAUGCCGCGUGUAUGAAGAAGGCCUUCGGGUUGUAAAGUACUUUCAGCGGGGAGGAAGGGAGUAAAGUUAAUACCUUUACUCAUUGACGUUACCCGCAGAAGAAGCACCGGCUAACUCCGUGCCAGCAGCCGCUGUAA